rfam:Salmo salar isolate Sally breed double haploid chromosome ssa19, whole genome shotgun sequence.
AAUGCACCAAUUUGUAAGUCGCUCUGGAUAACAGCGUCUGCUAAAUGACAUAAA